UGAGCACAUGUCAUGAGGUGAUCGUCGCCCGACACAGCGGCAUGCGCGUUCUCGGCAUCUCCAUGAUAACAAACUGCGUUGUCAUGGACUACGAGGACCAAAAGCUUGCCAAUCACGAGGAGGUUCUGGAGACGGGCCGAGUCCGCGGCAAAGAUCUUCAAGCCCUCAUCAUAAAGGUGAUCAGCAUGAUGCCUGAGCCGGUGGGACCCGAAAAGGUCGAGGUUUAACCUCGAAGAAGCCCAUAGUAUUCAACCAGGUGGAGGUGUAAAGCUCUUGAAGGAAGCCAGAUAUGUCGAGGCGUCUCUCCGAGGAGCGAGGGCGCGCGCGGAACGGUUGGAGGUGUGAGGCUCCGUGAGGAGGAGGAGCGCAAGGUGAGGGACCCAAACAGGUGGAGAUGCGAUGAACGUCAAGAUUCUGCCUGAGACGUCGUGAGACGCGAGCCGCCGCCGCCGCGCCAUCCACAAAUCUCCGCACUCUUUCCCCCUUCCCCAGGGUGUGAUAUCUGCGAUGUCGUACGAAGCGCGCCGUACGUGCAAGCAGUCAAUCGAGGGUUUGCACGCAAGCAGUCGCGCGAUCCCGGCCUUACGAUGCGCAGGUGUCGAGUCGUUUGACGACGCGUUUUUUCGCAAAGUCGUUUGUCCUGUGCCUGUGCCAGGUGUGUGCCUGGGUGCCAGGUCACAUAAACAGGUACGAAGUUCACCUGAUUACCUCAGUACACACUCCCCCCCCCCGGCGAUUGUUUGCGUGCAGCCUGUACGCGUGUAGGGUUGGCUUUUAAAAGCGUUUAGAUCGUCUGUUGCUUUGUUAGUGCGCGGGAGGGGGGAGGACGGAGAUUUGUGGAUGAGCAAAAGCGGUUAGUUUCGUAACUAAAUCUAAAGUGGCGACGGUAACCACCACGAAUCGGAAUACGUAAAGAUAACAGUGCAAAUAUAACUAAUUGAAACUGAAAAGGUACGCGGGGCUGUUCACAUUCAUCACCGUUAUCGGCAGCGUAUAACCCUUGCACGCAACUGCCCCAAAACUGCCCCUUCCCGCCCAAAACUGCAAAAUAUAAUUGCUGAGCACUGAUUUACUUAGAUAGAGUGAUAGGAGCGCGCUAGUUGGCCUCCUUUUGUAUUUCUAACCACGCACAACAACCGCUGCCACCGCUUCCCCCUGUGUCUGUUUUGUACUCUUGUAGUAAUGUGGAUGACUGUGAACGGCCCCUGGGUAAAAGAUGUUUGGGACCAUUUUUACAUAAAAAGUGCAUGUAUGUAACGUACAUAUGCCUGUUGCAAGGCAUGAUUGGAGGAUACCAGUCACGUAAGUUUAAGAAUGAUUUACAGUGUUAUUAUGUUUAAAGUCUGCUGCUUACAGAAUGUUAUAGGUUAGUAUUCACUAGAAAUGUUUUUUAAAUGUUUGAAGAUUGUUUGUAUCAGUAGACAUCCUAUUCAUUGGUGUCUCUUUUGGUUAUGUCGUUAACUUCUAUUUAAAGUGUAAAUAUUGCUAUUUAGAAUAAGUAUGUGAGUAAUCAUUAUCAAUAUGAAAGUAAUAGUGAAAUUUAUAGUAUUGCGAUCCCCUUAUUAUACCGUAUUUUUCAAAUAAUUACAAUUCUUUCAGUCCAUCCUGUACAUUUAAAAACCUCCAUGAAAAGUUCAGCUAGGGAAUAGCAAAAGUACUGACGACUUCACACCGCCAACAAAUUAACGACAGUUUCUCAAACAUUGAUUGAAAAAAAUGGUGAAUAUACACUUAAUUUUAAAAUGAUUAACUGUAAAUAACUGUUAAACCUAUGUUGAAGUUAUAAUUCGUAACUAUUGUUGUAUUUCCAAUGUCUAUUUUUUGUGUCACAUUUCCUAUAGUUGGGCAAAAAGAUGAUAAAUUAGGUCAUGUGUGUGUGUUUGACUGGUACACAACUCUUCUUCCCUCCAUCCCUGAUUCAAACUAUAUGUUAUUACCAUUAUCUUUGUAUCUGCGUGCGUCACCAACCCCAAUAGUGUCUGGCCUAGAGUGUACAUAGAUUGCUACACUUUAUUCCACCUGUAUCUUAAAACGGUGACACUACAAACAUGUCUUGAUUUACUAUCAACUAUUGCCCAACUGUUGAGGUAUUCUGAGCAAAUAUUCCUUUACUAUUAUAACACACUUGAUUGUAUCCAUGCCAUUUGAUGCCCUUGAUGUGAUCGUCUGUAUGUUCGUCUAUAUGUUGCGCCGAACAAUAUCAAUGCACACCCAGCAAUAAAAACAAGUAUACCUGUUAUAACCUU
rnacentral:lncRNA from 1 species